AUGCAAGUCGAGCGGUAAGGCCUUUCGGGGUACACGAGCGGCGAACGGGUGAGUAACACGUGGGUGAUCUGCCCUGCACUCUGGGAUAAGCUUGGGAAACUGGGUCUAAUACCGGAUAUGACCGCAUGCCGCAUGGGGUGUGGUGGAAAGAUUUAUCGGUGCAGGAUGGGCCCGCGGCCUAUCAGCUUGUUGGUGGGGUAAUGGCCUACCAAGGCGACGACGGGUAGCCGACCUGAGAGGGUGACCGGCCACACUGGGACUGAGACACGGCCCAGACUCCUACGGGAGGCAGCAGUGGGGAAUAUUGCACAAUGGGCGGAAGCCUGAUGCAGCGACGCCGCGUGAGGGAUGAAGGCCUUCGGGUUGUAAACCUCUUUCAGCAGGGACGAAGCGUGAGUGACGGUACCUGCAGAAGAAGCACCGGCUAACUACGUGCCAGCAGCCGCGGUAAUACGUAGGGUGCGAGCGUUGUCCGGAAUUACUGGGCGUAAAGAGUUCGUAGGCGGUUUGUCGCGUCGUUUGUGAAAACCCGGGGCUCAACUUCGGGCUUGCAGGCGAUACGGGCAGACUUGAGUGUUUCAGGGGAGACUGGAAUUCCUGGUGUAGCGGUGAAAUGCGCAGAUAUCAGGAGGAACACCGGUGGCGAAGGCGGGUCUCUGGGAAACAACUGACGCUGAGGAACGAAAGCGUGGGUAGCAAACAGGAUUAGAUACCCUGGUAGUCCACGCCGUAAACGGUGGGCGCUAGGUGUGGGUUCCUUCCACGGGAUCUGUGCCGUAGCUAACGCAUUAAGCGCCCCGCCU
rnacentral:rRNA from 1 species